UCUGGUUGGUGAUCCCUCUCUUGUGGAGUUUUCCCUGUGAGUCUGCAUCUUCAGAGAUGGGACUGCCACUUUCCUUUCCCCUUGCUCUUCACCCCUCGUUUUUGUCUUGAGGAAUACCUGGGGAAAGUCGCUCAUAGGAUCCCUGGAGCGUGGUACUUUGCUUUCAGAACUGCUUUGCAGGCCAUUUAGGAGGAAGCACAUGCAACCUCAGAAGUUAAUUUUCAGCUGAGCAAGAAACUUUGCUCUCCAGGGGAACAAGGAAGUACAUGACUCCAAAGGCUUUGGACAAGCACCAGCCAUCAAGAAGAUCGAAACAGUCAGCUGUCUAGCUGUACUCCAUACCCAGUGCCAGGAAGGAGACUAUUAACUAUGCCUCAGGUGGGGAAUGUUCCUGCAUACCACAAACACCAGCACAGCAGGGGGUGCAGAAAAGUUAAUUUUGGGUGGGAGAAUGAAGAUUCUUUGGUGCGAAUUCCAGGUCACUGAAAAAGAUUAUAUUACACCAGAAUGCAUGGGCUGGUAUCUCUGCUGUCCUGCUGCUGUGCUAAUAGAGAGCAGUUGGCCACCUAUGAGUGCCUUGAGGUCCACAGCCACAUGCUUAAAGUAACAGCAAGACUGGACUCUCUGUGCUUUGUUUGAAUAGCGAUUUGAAGAAGAGUGUGAGAUCAGUCUCUGAGGAGAAGGAGGGAGGAAGAGAAUUACAGAAUAGACUGCAGAAAGGGGGAACAUGGGGACGAAGACUUCCUGGGAAAUAGCAAAGCUCAGGUUAUAUCUUAGGGAAAACUCCCAAGGUCUUGAGGACAAGAAAACAGCUGACAAAAGCUCAAAGGGACAAAGAUGCUGCCUUGUGGAAGAAGAAUGUGAACUACACGUGGGUACUGGAGACUGGACCUUCCCCAGAGGAUGUCUGUCAUCCUGUCUACACAAUGUCAAUAAGCAGAUGAAGGAUCAUGGUCCUUCUUUUUGUUUCGAGACUGGCCUGCUGAGCAUGUUGUAUCACCUGACCUAGGUCAACCAUGGAACCUGUGUCAGAGUCAGGGACUGAAAGUUUCCUUAGCUGGUAGUCAAUACCUUAAUUGGAAAUAUAGUUAUGUCAACUCUGUACUGUUACAGUGUACAUACAGCUCUACUGCUUGGAACUGCUUGGGAUUAUAUUGCUGGGACAUGGGGCUCUUUCAUUUCCAGUGUAACAACUUGCGGUCAGCUAUGCUGGCCCAUCAGCUUGCCCUGCUUUGCUUCUGGUGCUCCCAACACAGCAAUCAGCAACUCGGGAAUACCUGGACCCAAGGUGCUAUGUUUGUGUUACUAGUAUCAGUAAUAGUGGCUUUGAACCGCUGCGCAUCAACAAGGCAGUGUCCUAACUUCACAGAAGAUUUUCUUCCUUCCUUCAAGAGAUUAUCUUGUCAGAUUAGACAUGACUAAGAGAGAAAUGGGAUAUCUACUCAUGUAAGGGACUAUAGGGAAGAGAAAGCAAAAAGUUGGUGGGAUAAUUUGGCUGGGACUACAGUAAGUAUAAAACAGUAAAAAAGGGAAAAUGAAGGUAAGAGUGGGGAAGAGGUAAAGGAGCAGAGGAUAUAGCAGCAGAGUGAAGUGAGCAGGAGGUCAGUUUGCCUUCCUAGUGUGAAUCAGAAUUGUGGAAUUUGUGAGCUAAGCAGAAGGGUCCAGGAGAUGAGAGGAGGGGGAAUGAUAUGGAAGGGCAGCACAGGUUGUGGACAAAGGGGACAGAGGUAGAGAAACCAAGUGGGAGAGGAAAUAAAGCUGAGAAGACCUGUUACAGACAAAGAGGAAAAGAAGUGCUGGAGAUGGUGGCUUUAAGCUGGAGACGGUUACGUAUUUUAGACAAGUGGAACUGUGUGUUGGAAAGACAAGCAGAGGUACAGUUUCAAGCAGUAUGAAGAGUCAGGUGAGGAUGAGGAAGAGAGUUUGGCUUACUGAGAAGUCCAAGGGAUUUAGAACUGCAAACUAGGGGAAUAGAGUGAAAUGGGAAGCCCAAAGAUGGUGUAUUAAAAAAAAAAAAAAACUGGAGUGGGAAUUGGGAUUCUAGCAAAAUGCUCAUUUUUGAGGAUACGUCAGCAACCAGGGCUUCUUCUGGUAGAAGACCUGACCAGAGGCAGCAGUCACUUAGGGAUACUUCUGCUGCUUUUGUGCCAGCUUAAUUCACAGGAGGAACAACCAAGAGUCUGUGGGAACAGUGAACAGGCAUUCAUUUACAGCAGCCUCUCCCUACAGAUCAGUGUCGUGAGCAGUCCAACAUGUGGAUGCUGUGCCUGAAAGUGAGUAGGUUAUGGGGCUCAACCUCUAAAGUGGAGCAGCAGAAAUAGUUGUAAGGCCAUGCUGUGUGGAUGGAUGGAUGUAAUGUAAGAUCAUACGGAUACUUGAAUGUUAAGUUUCCAGCCACAUUAAUUUUCAGUGAAUAUUACGUAGCAGGACUUCAAGCAGAGCCAUCAGAAGAGGCUCUUCAAAUCUUAACUGCUUUCUGGUCUGUAUCUUCCCCGUGCCCUUAUCACAAUACUCUCCAAAUUCAGAGUGAAUUAUUUUAUAUUGCUCCCAUCCAGUGCUGACAGAGAUUUCAUAGAUUUUGCUGAGACUGUACAUACUUUUCUGGAAGAUAAUUUCCUUCCAUCAGUGUGAAAGAUCUCAAAAGGCCAGAUGCCUAGGACAAAGUUAGGCUGUCUGAAUGCCUGUCUGCUUGGCCAGAGAGCCCACUGCUGCUUUUGAUAUGGCUUAUCAAGGUGGCCAUUUUCUUGUUUCUUAGAAGUGAAGGGAAGGUGUGGAAGGCCACUUUCUAGAAUGCACUGGGGUCAAUGAGGGCCUGACUUGGUCAACUUCAACAGGCUCUGGAUCAGGUCUCUAAUGACUGUUUGUAUGUAGGAUGGCAUGAGAAGGCUCAGAAGGGAUGUGGCCUAUGGCAGGAUCACUGCAGAGAAAGGAUGGUGCUUUACUGGGGGUGGAAAAUGGAAUUGUCACCGUGGAAUGAAUGAAUUGUACAGUUUCUCUUUUGUAACCCAGGGAAUAAUUAAGAUAGAUGGGUAGAUGAAUUAGCUGUCCUGCAAGGUCAAAAGUGGAUUGCCUUAUUACUCUAUUAUUUCACUGUUGUGGAACUAUCACCACUAACGCCUUUUUCAUGAUAUUUUGUACAUCG
rnacentral:lncRNA from 1 species